rnacentral:ncRNA from 1 species
GAUAGAGGCGCGGUCUUCAUCAGUACUCCCCUCAAUGAGCCCCGUACGGGCGCUGCCGGGACAAAAGGGAAAACCGCCGAAGAGGAUGCCGGUACGGCGGCACUGCUCUGGUUGCACGGCCAAAAAGGCGUGGGACUGUCAUCAUGUGUGUGAUGAAGAGCUAUCGG